AGAGUUUGAUCAUGGCUCAGGAUUAACGCUAGCGGCAGGCCUAAUACAUGCAAGUCGAACGGUAAAUAGGUAGCAAUAUCUAUGAGAGUGGCGCACGGGUGAGUAACGCGUAUGCAACCUACCUUUAACUGGGGAAUAGCUUCGAGAAAUCGAAAUUAAUACCGCAUAAUAUUAUUGGAUGGCAUCAUUUAAUAAUUAAAACUCCGGUGGUUAAAGAUGGGCAUGCGUGACAUUAGCUAGUUGGUAAGGUAACGGCUUACCAAGGCGACGAUGUCUAGGGGGUCUGAGAGGAUGAUCCCCCACACUGGUACUGAGACACGGCCCCCACUCCUACGGGAGGCAGCAGCAAGGAAUCUUCCGCAAUGGGCGCAAGCCUGACGGAGCGACGCCGCGUGGGGGAGGACGCCUUUCGGGGUGUAAACCCCUUUUCUCGGGGAAGAUGGUGACGGUACCCGAGGAAGAAGGCCCGGCAAACUACGUGCCAGCAGCCGCGGUAAUACGUAGGGGCCGAGCGUUGUCCGGAGUUACUGGGCGUAAAGCGCGCGCAGGCGGCCACGCGCGCCCGGCGUGAAAGCCCCCGGCUCAACCGGGGAGGGUCGUCGGGGACGGCGUGGCUUGAGGGCGGUAGGGGCCGGUGGAAUCCCUGGUGUAGUGGUGAAAUGCGUAGAGAUCAGGGGGAACACCCGUGGCGAAGGCGGCCGGCUGGGCCGACCCUGACGCUGAGGCGCGAAGGCGUGGGGAGCGAACGGGAUUAGAUACCCCUGUAGUCC
rnacentral:rRNA from 1 species